rnacentral:rRNA from 1 species
UACAGAGACUGCAAGCGUUAUUCGGAUUCACUGGGCGUAAAGGGUGCGCAGGCGGCCAAGUGUGUUAGGCGUGAAAGCCUGGGGCUUAACCCCAGAAUUGCACCUAAAACUACAUGGCUAGAGCAUUGGAGAGGGUAGCGGAAUUCACGGUGUAGCAGUGAAAUGCGUAGAUAUCGAGAGGAACACCUGCGGCGAAGGCGGGUUGCUGGGCUGACACUGACGCUGAGGCGCGAAAGCUAGGGGAGCGAACGGG